GGCAGCUUAGCAAAGUGGUUACUGCGAUUGAUUAGAAUUAUUGAAAGAAAUUUCAAAUUCAGUUCAUAUCAAUUCCUCUUCGAGGGCGCAGGUUCGAGUCCUGCAGCUGUCG